ACGAGUGGCGCCACUGUCACGAACAGUGAACACUGAACACUCCCUUAUCGUUAUUUUUCGUUGUUUCUCAGUUUGAGUAGUUUUAAUCAUUGUGUGGGUGAUUUGGGAUAAGUUUUCAGUAGUGAUAACGAGUGCGGUGGUGUCGACUCCUGGCAGAAGUUUAUACAGUUUGCUAGGGAAGCGAUGCCAUGGCCUUCAUCUUAAGUGAUGAGGUAUGCUACCUUGUCGACAGGAUUGAGUUAUGGGAGUCAUAUUUUUCAUCAGUGCUGAUAUUCUGAGAUUCGAUAUUGUGUAGCUUUCUGUCGACAGUAUCAGAGUUCAGGUCCCUCUGUCAGUAGCACCCACAAGCACAAAAUCAUCAAUUGCAAGCAUAGGCAAACAAUGGUGAGUAUCGC